UCUACCUUUCACAGAGGGAUAGCCCAGAGAAAUUUGGAUUAAUACCUCAUAGUAUAGCAGUUUCGCAUGAAACCACUAUUAAAGUCACAACGGUGAAAGAUGAGCAUGCGUCCCAUUAGCUAGUUGGUAAGGUAACGGCUUACCAAGGCAACGAUGGGUAGGGGUCCUGAGAGGGAGAUCCCCCACACUGGUACUGAGACACGGACCAGACUCCUACGGGAGGCAGCAGUGAGGAAUAUUGGACAAUGGGCGCAAGCCUGAUCCAGCCAUGCCGCGUGCAGGAUGACGGUCCUAUGGAUUGUAAACUGCUUUUAUACGAGAAGAAACCCUCCGACGUGUCGGAGCUUGACGGUAUCGUAAGAAUAAGGAUCGGCUAACUCCGUGCCAGCAGCCGCGGUAAUACGGAGGAUCCAAGCGUUAUCCGGAAUCAUUGGGUUUAAAGGGUCCGUAGGCGGUCAGGUAAGUCAGUGGUGAAAGCCCAUCGCUCAACGGUGGAACGGCCAUUGAUACUGUCUGACUUGAAUUAUUAGGAAGUAACUAGAAUAUGUAGUGUAGCGGUGAAAUGCUUAGAGAUUACAUGGAAUACCAAUUGCGAAGGCAGGUUACUACUAAUGGAUUGACGCUGAUGGAC
rnacentral:rRNA from 1 species